GAUGAGGAACGUAGCGAAAUGCGAUACGUAAUGUGAAUUGCAGAAUUCAGUGAAUCAUCGAAUCUUUGAACGCAUAUUGCGCUCUCUGGUAUUCCGGAGAGCAUGCUUGUUUGAGUAUCAGUAAACACCUCAACUUCCAUAUCUUUUUUGAAAUGGGAGUUGGACUUGAGUGAUCCCAACGCUUUUCCUCACCGAAAAGUGGCGGGUUACUUGAAAUGCAGGUGCAGCUGGACUUUUCUCUGAGCUAUAAGCAUAUCUAUUUAGUCUGCCUAAAAAACAGAUUAUUACCUUUGCUGCAGCUAACAUAAAGGAGAUUAGUUCUUGUGCUGACUGAUGCAGGAUUCACAAAGACGGCUUCGGCCGACUUUGUAAACUCGAUCUCAAAUCAAGUAAGACUACCCGCUGAACUUAAGCAUAUCAAUAAGCGGAGGA
rnacentral:misc_RNA from 1 species